rnacentral:rRNA from 1 species
AUUGCCCUAGUAACGGCGAGUGAAGCGGCAAUAGCUCAAAUUUGAAAUCUGGUCUCCUUUGGGGGCCCGAGUUGUAAUUUGCAGAGGGCGCUUUGGCGUCGGCAGCGGUCUAAGUUCCUUGGAACAGGACGUCACAGAGGGUGAGAAUCCCGUACGUGGUCGCCUGCCUUCGCCGUGUAAAGCCCCUUCGACGAGUCGAGUUGUUUGGGAAUGCAGCUCUAAAUGGGAGGUAAAUUUCUUCUAAAGCUAAAUACUGGCCAGAGACCGAUAGCGCACAAGUAGAGUGAUCGAAAGAUGAAAAGCACUUUGGAAAGAGAGUCAAACAGCACGUGAAAUUGUUGAAAGGGAAGCGCUUGCAGCCAGACGUGCCCGUGGUGGUUCUCCUCCGCGGGCAGGCCAGCAUCAGUUCGAGCGGUCGGAUAAAGGCCUCUGUCACGUAUCUACCUUCGGGUUGACCUUAUAGGGGAGGCGUAAUGCGAUCAGCUCGGACUGAGGUCCGCGCAUCUGCUAGGAUGCUGGCGUAAUGGCUGUAAGCGGCCCGUCUUGAAACACGGACCAAGGAGUCUAACAUCUAUGCGAGUGUUUGGGUGUCAAGCCCGGGCGCGCAAUGAAAGUGAACGGAGGUGGGAACCCUUUCUUGGGGUGCACCAUCGACCGAUCCUGAAGUCUUCGGAUGGAUUUGAGUAAGAGCAUAGCUGUUGGGACCCGAAAGAUGGUGAACUAUGCUUGAAUAGGGUGAAGCCAGAGGAAACUCUGGUGGAGGCUCGCAGCGGUUCUGACGUGCAAAUCGAUCGUC